GCAAACUUGGUCAUUUAGAGGAAGUAAAAGUCGUAACAAGGUCUCCGUUGGUGAACCAGCGGAGGGAUCAUUACCGAGUCUAACAACUCAUCAACCCUGUGAACAUACCUAAACGUUGCUUCGGCGGGAACAGACGGCCCCGUAACACGGGCCGCCCCCGCCAGAGGACCCCCUAACUCUGUAUCUAUAAUGUUGUUUUUUCUGAGUAAACAAGCAAAUAAAUUAAAACUUUCAACAACGGAUCUCUUGGCUCUGGCAUCGAUGAAGAACGCAGC
rnacentral:misc_RNA from 1 species